rnacentral:rRNA from 1 species
AUUGAACGCUGGCGGCAUGCCUUACACAUGCAAGUCGAACGGCAGCGCGGGGCAACCUGGCGGCGAGUGGCGAACGGGUGAGUAAUAUAUCGGAACAUACCCUAGAGUGGGGAUAACGUAGCGAAGUUACGCUAAUACCGCAUACGCACUAAGGUGGAAAGUGGGGGAUCUUCGGACCUCAUGCUCAUGGAGUGGCCGAUAUCUGAUUAGCUAGUUGGUGAGGUAAAGGCUCACCAAGGCGACGAUCAGUAGCUGGUUUGAGAGAACGACCAGCCACACUGGAACUGAGACACGGUCCAGACUCCUACGGGAGGCAGCAGUGGGGAAUUUUGGACAAGUGGGGCAACCCUGAUCCAGCAAU